AACGAACGCUGGCGGCAUGCCUAACACAUGCAAGUCGAACGAGACCUUCGGGUCUAGUGGCGCACGGGUGCGCACGCGUGGGAACCUGCCCUUAGGUUCGGAAUAACUCCCCGAAAGGGGUGCUAAUACCGGAUAAUGUCUUCGGACCAAAGAUUUAUCGCCUUUGGAUGGGCCCGCGUUGGAUUAGCUAGUUGGUAGGGUAAAAGCCUACCAAGGCGACGAUCCAUAGCUGGUCUGAGAGGAUGAUCAGCCACACUGGGACUGAGACACGGCCCAGACUCCUACGGGAGGCAGCAGUGGGGAAUAUUGGACAAUGGGCGAAAGCCUGAUCCAGCAAUGCCGCGUGAGUGAUGAAGGCCUUAGGGUUGUAAAGCUCUUUUACCCGGGAUGAUAAUGACAGUACCGGGAGAAUAAGCUCCGGCUAACUCCGUG
rnacentral:rRNA from 1 species